rnacentral:lncRNA from 1 species
AAAAAAAAUGCUCUUCCCUUCGCCGGCGGCAACCGCAACCUAGAUCGACGUGGUGCGGUGGUGGACGCUUCUCCAACCAGCAUGCCAAAGCUGUUUGCCUCUUCUUCUUACGUCCUUCUUGAAUUGGUUUGUUUUUCUUCAAUUCAGUUGUUUACACAGUUUACAAGUUCAAUUUUUCUAUACUGUUUUUAUUUCAGUGGUUGAUUGUUUCCAUGGAAUUUUAAGACUUUAAUCUGAGUCUAGUUUCUUUUCUACAAUUGUGGUGUUGCAUUUCUACAUUUGUACAAUCUGAUUUUUAUGAUGCCCUUAAGUUGUUCGAUGAAAUGCUUCAUUGAAGUGUCUUUGUUCAAUUACUUUGUAGUAAGAUUGGUGUCAAUCCUGGCUCUGAGUUUCGAGUGGCAUGUGAUGAAGCAAACAAGUAUGGUGAUUUUUUUACCUGCGUUUUUAUGUUUCUGUUUUGAGUACCAUGUUUUGUUAUUCUUUUGUGCUUUUUUUUUACUCUAGGUACUGUUCUGUUACUUUUUGUUUGUACUAUCUACUCACUUGUAAGAGUUUGUUUCUAAUAUCCUAGUUGCUAAUUUCUUGUUUUCCUUGGCUGGGUUUUGAGCAUAUUCAGCAGGUGGAAUCGCACAUGACCUCUCUUGUUAUGAUGCAAAGGAGCUGUUUUUCGAGCAGAGUUGUUUUUCGCCUCAUCUGGUUCCCUGUUUUGCUGUUUAUUUUUUUUGCAACCUUAGGAGCUGCUGCAGAACACGUUUUCUAUGUGGCAGAAGAGCACACAUCAAGAAAUCACAAUGCCUUAGAACAUACCUUGUAGCCACUUUAUCAGAUUUUCUAUGUGACACAGUAUAAUGAGUACAUAAACUAUUUUUCAAAGUCUGUAAUAAGCGGUAGCCCUUAACCGAUGAUUAUGAAAUCCCAAAUUUGCACGGGUAUUU